rnacentral:rRNA from 1 species
AUUGAACGCUGGCGGAAUGCUUUACACAUGCAAGUCGAACGGCAGCACGGGAGCUUGCUCCUGGUGGCGAGUGGCGAACGGGUGAGUAACGCGUCGGAACGUACCGAGUAAUGGGGGAUAACGCAGCGAAAGCUGUGCUAAUACCGCAUACGCCCUGAGGGGGAAAGUGGGGGAUCGCAAGACCUCACGUUAUUCGAGCGGCCGACGUCUGAUUAGCUUGUUGGUGAGGUAAUGGCUCACCAAGGCGACGAUCAGUAGCGGGUCUGAGAGGAUGAUCCGUCACACUGGAACUGAGACACGGUCCAGACUCCUACGGGAGGCAGCAGUGGGGAAUUUUGGACAAUGGGGGAAACCCUGAUCCAGCCAUUCCGCGUGAGUGAAGAAGGCCUGGUUGUAAGUACGUCUUCUAGCU